UGAGGAAUAUUGGUCAAUGGGCGAGAGCCUGAACCAGCCAAGUCGCGUGAAGGAAGACUGCCUUAUGGGUUGUAAACUUCUUUUAUACAGGAAUAAAAGGCUUACGCGUAGGCCAUUGCAAGUACUGUAUGAAUAAGCAUCGGCUAACUCCGUGCCAGCAGCCGCGGUAAUACGGAGGAUGCGAGCGUUAUCCGGAUUUAUUGGGUUUAAAGGGUGCGCAGGCGGGCUUUUAAGUCAGCGGUGAAAUCUGGACGCUUAACGUCCAAACUGCCGUUGAAACUGGGAGUCUUGAGUAUGGAUGAAGUAGGCGGAAUUCGUUGUGUAGCGGUGACAUGCAUAGAUAUAACGAGGAACUCCGAUUGCGUAGGCAGCUUACUAAGCCAUAACUGACGCUCAUGCACGAAAGCGUGGGGAUCAAACAGGAUUAGAUACCCUGGUAGUCCACGCCGUAAAACGAUGAUUACUAGUUGUAUGCGAUAUGAUAGUANGUGACUAAGCGAAAGCGAUAAGUAAUCCACCUGGGGAGUACGCCGGCAACGGUGAAACUCAAAGGAAUUGACGGGGUCAUAGCUG
rnacentral:rRNA from 1 species